rnacentral:rRNA from 1 species
AGCAGCCGCGGUAAUUCCAGCUCCAAUAGCGUAUAUUAAAGUUGUUGCAGUUAAAAAGCUACGUAGUUGAAUUUUCGGGGGUCUAGGUAGGUUGGUCAUGCCACUGGUAUGGUACUGGUCUCACUGAUUCCUCCUUCCUGAUGAACUGUAAUGCCAUUAAUUUGGUGUUGCAGGGAAUCUGGACUGUUACUUUGAAAAAAUUAGAGUGUUUAAAGCAGGCUAACGCCUGAAUACAUUAGCAUGGAAUAAUGAAAUAGGACGUUCGAUCCUAUUUUGUUGGUUUCUAGGAUUGACGUAAUGAUUAAUAGGGAUAGUUGGGGGCAUUAGUAUUCAAUUGUCAGAGGUGAAAUUCUUGGAUUUAUUGAAGACUAACUACUGCGAAAGCAUUUGCCAAGGAUGUUUUCAUUAAUCAAGAACGAAAGUUAGGGGAUCGAAGACG